rnacentral:rRNA from 2 species
CACCGCGGUUAUACGAGAGGCCCAAGUUGAUAAAUGCCGGCGUAAAAAGUGGCCAAUAUGACACAUCACUAAAGCCAAACAUCUUCAAAGCUGUCAUACGCACUCGAAGACAGGAAGCCCCUCCACGAAAGUGGCUUUAAAACAUAUGCCCCACGAAAGCUAGGAUA